rnacentral:rRNA from 1 species
GGGUGCGAUAAUUUCAGCACUAAUGCAUCGGAUUCGAUCAAAACUCCGCAGUUAAGCAUGCUUGGGCAAGAAUAGUUCUAAGAUGUCUUAUGACUUUCAUAGAUUCAGGCU